rnacentral:rRNA from 1 species
GACGAACGCAGGCGGCGUGCCUAAUACAUGCAAGUAGAACGCUGAAGGAGGAGCUUGCUUCUCCGGAUGAGUUGCGAACGGGUGAGUAACGCGUAGGUAACCUGCCUGGUAGCGGGGAUAACUAUUGGAAACGAUAGCUAAUACCGCAUAACAGUAGAUAUUGCAUGAUAUCUGCUUGAAAGGUGCAAAUGCAUCACUACCAGAUGGACCUGCGUUGUAUUAGCUAGUUGGUGGGGUAACGGCUCACCAAGGCGACGAUACAUAGCCGACCUGAGAGGGUGAUCGGCCACACUGGGACUGAGACACGGCCCAGACUCCUACGGGAGGCAGCAGUAGGGAAUCUUCGGCAAUGGACGGAAGUCUGACCGAGCAACGCCGCGUGAGUGAAGAAGGUUUUCGGAUCGUAAAGCUCUGUUGUAAGAGAAGAACGAGUGUGAGAGUGGAAAGUUCACACUGUGACGGUAUCUUACCAGAAAGGGACGGCUAACUACGUGCCAGCAGCCGCGGUAAUACGUAGGUCCCGAGCGUUGUCCGGAUUUAUUGGGCGUAAAGCGAGCGCAGGCGGUUAGAUAAGUCUGAAGUUAAAGGCUGUGGCUUAACCAUAGUACGCUUUGGAAACUGUUUAACUUGAGUGCAAGAGGGGAGAGUGGAAUUCCAUGUGUAGCGGUGAAAUGCGUAGAUAUAUGGAGGAACACCGGUGGCGAAAGCGGCUCUCUGGCUUGUAACUGACGCUGAGGCUCGAAAGCGUGGGGAGCAAACAGG